AAAUGAAACUUGAUUAUCUGAUGCUUGAUUUAACUAAAAAAAAAACUAUUAGGGAAGACAAGUACAUGUAAGAAGUUUUUAAUGCGUUUCAUUUACUCUUAUAUUAUUUCUAAUAUUAUUUUUGAUAACUAUAAUAAUUAUUAUGUUUUCAUUAUAAUUGCAGCUA
rnacentral:sRNA from 1 species